rnacentral:lncRNA from 1 species
AUGAAAGUUUUGGGUGAAACUGAUGUGGGUUUGAGCACAAGCUCUACCAGGUACUAGCUGUGUGACCCUAGGCAUCUCACCCUCUCUGGGCGUGUGCCUCCUUCCUGCCUUCCCCUGAGCACUUACUAUAGGAAGUUCUUGAUCAAUUACAGCCCCCUAUAAAUGUUGUACCACUUGUGCAAAUAUUCAUUCACCCCCACUACAGAGUUCUCCACAGUCAAUGCCUCCCCAGCCUCUUCAUGUAUUUAUUGCCCUCCUCCAAAAGGAAGUUCUUCUUUACAUCAGACCAAAAUCUCCCCUGACUUAGACAUGUAUGUAUUUGUUUUAAUUGACACUCACUAUUUCUAGCUUGGUCUUUUACAAAAAGGGUUAGCAAACAUUUUCUCUAAAAAGCUUGACAGUAAAUAUUUCAGGUUUUGUGGGCCAUACGGUCUCUGUCACACUACACAAUUCUGAUGUUGCAGCGUGAAAACAGCCAUAGACAAAGUGGAAACAAAUAGGUAUGGCAGUGUUCCAAUAAAACUUUAUUUACAAAAGCAGGUGGAGGGCUGACUUUGGCCCGUGGGCUAUACUUGGUCAACCCCUGUUUUAGAGAGAAAAUCUCUCAUUAUCUGAUCACUAUCCCUCCCACACGAUCUCAUUCCUGAUACACAGACAGAAAGUGCUUUGGCUUCACUUCUCUCCCCUAGGGCAAAUUAUAAAGGCUUCAACCUUCCCCUCCAAGGACAUAAUUUCUGUGAUUAGAUUAUGACAGUUCAUUUGUUCGUUAAUUCAUUCAAUGAUACUUUUGCAACCAUGCUAAGUAGUUUGUAGGAAAUGAACAAAGUGCUGCGUUUAGAGUGUACGGUCUGGAAUCAGCCCGAGCUCAAGUGCUGGUACCCCGCAAUUUACUGGCCAUGUGACCUUGGUUGGGUACCAUGGUUCACCCCUCUGUGCCUUCAUUCUCUUAUCUGAAAACUGGGGAAUACAAAAGUCCCUGUCUCAUGGGGAUAUCUGACGAUUAAGUGAAAUAACCCUCAAAAUCAGCUCAGAACACCGCCUGACACUCAGUAUGUUUUUAAUAUUUUAUCGUUAUUAUUUUGUUUAUUAAAAGAUGGCUCUUGCUAUCUAGGAAUUUCCAGUCUAAUAUGGGAGAUUUAGAUAUCAAAGCAACUACAAGAUAACUGCCCAAUGACUAUGGCCGAAGAUCGACACAGGUGCAAUCAAGGAAAUCCUCCCCGCAGUGGUCAGGAGUUGCCUAAGCCAUGGGAAGGUUUACUUUAGAAAGAUGCAGCCCAGAAAGUUUUUCCUUUUGAACAGAUGCAAAGGGACGGUGAAUCAGUGAGAAAACCAUUGAAACCUGGGAGGUCAGAGCAUCCUGCCCCACCAGGCAUCAGCAGCAGAGAAGAAAGUAUCACAGUACAGAUGAAAUAGUCCCUCAAUGACCAACAGCCGACCUUAAGUUCACCACCAGAUGCUUCAUGACAAACUCACAAAGGCAAUAGCCACAAAGGGCCAACAACUUUCCCUGGGCAUCUAUCCAAGCCUGUCUUCAUGGUCCCUUCCAACAGCUGGACGUAUUGGCUGCCAGAUGUCCCUGAAACCGCAGGCUGCCUUACCUAUGUCAGGUAAUUUGGCUUCCCUGAUUGACCCAUCACUGAGAUCAUCACUAGCAGAAGGGAUACUGUUCCAGAACUAGCAGCCUCCAUUUCCUCCUCCUUGGGAUGUGUGUUGUGAGAAGCUCAUGUCACAUAAAAGGCAACAUGUGGGCACCUAAGCAGAUAAUCCCCAACUGAACACCCACUCAACAACUAGUGCCAACUGCCAUCCAUGAGCAUGCACCAUCUUGGAUGUUCCAGCCCAGUCAAGCCCCAGAUGACUGCAGCUCCAGCCAACAACACACGGAACAGAAGAACCACCCAGCUGAGCCCAGCCAAUCCCUGAGCCCAGGGAAUUAUGAUGAUGAAACUAUACCCUAAAGAGUUAAUGAAACCAAUGACAGAAAUUACUGAGUUUGCAGGAUAACAGAUAAGAAAAAAAAACAACUUGCUGAGAUGCUGAAAUUCCCUCCUCUUCUGAGUAUUUUUUUUUUUUUAACUCACAAGUUUUUUAAAAAGUUGGCAGUGGGCUAAAAUUAAUUGGAACCAGGAUGACCAACUGGAGAUUGUGCACAAGUUUGCUGACAUCACAGCCCAAAUUUCCACCACAUAUUUCAUACUAACUUCUCCCAAAUUUGCAUAUGCAACCUAUGAAGUAACAUAAAGAAAUAAGUACACACACCCAAGGACUUUCCAGACUUCCCCUUUCCCUCCACCAACCACCUGCUAAUCCCAGUAUCUACCCCCUAAGCCUUUCCUAAUAAAAAUACUGCCUUGAAGCCAGCCCAGAGUGGCAGAUUUGAGCUUGACUCCUGUGUCCUUGGGAGUCAACUUUCAAUAAGAAGCUUUUCUUUUCUCAAAAACCUGGCCAGGCACAGUGGCUCAUGCCUGUAAUCC